CAGGCCUAACACAUGCAAGUCGAACGGUAACAUUUCUAGCUUGCUAGAAGAUGACGAGUGGCGGACGGGUGAGUAAUACUUAGGAACAUGCCUUUGUGUGGGGGAUAACUAUUGGAAACGAUAGCUAAUACCGCAUAACGUCUUCGGACCAAAGGGGGCUUCGGCUCCCGCGCAAAGAGUGGCCUAAGCGAGAUUAGCUUGUUGGUGAGGUAAAAGCUCACCAAGGCGACGAUCAGUAGCUGGUCUGAGAGGACGACCA
rnacentral:rRNA from 1 species